rnacentral:misc_RNA from 1 species
ACGAGACUCCAAACACUGAUGCAUGAUGCAUGCUCUUUUUUGCAACUCUUGCAUCUGACACACUGAGAUUCAUAAAGUUUCUUCGAUCAGACAAAGUAGGAUUACCCCUCAGAGGUUGUUCUAGUGUUGAACUGCAUAGCCAAGUUUUAUCCGCUGAAACACCUCUUGCCCCUUUCAAAGUGUCAGUAAUCAGUGAUUUUGCUGCCUUCCCUAAGCCAUUACGAAGAAUCUUGACCCUUGUUGCCUCAUCUAACUUACCCCACCAGUCUACACACCCUUUCUUCCUCCAAAAUGCAUUUGCCCCUACACCUACAGAAUUCACCUUAUCUUUCAGCUUUACACCUCUCUUUUUCCCAUUAUUAUGAUUCAACCAUGCCAAUCGUAACGCCACCUCCAACCUAUUCGCCACAAAAGCCUCGAUGCUAUAAUAACCCUUCUCUUUCAACCACCCCAAUUCCACCCAUUCUGAGCUCAACCCACUUUCUUCCCCUCUCAAAAACUUCCUAUUCGUAACACCAUCCAUUGCAUUCACAAAAGUAUCCACAUUUCCAACAAAUUCCUCACUUACAGUCAAAGCAUCAACAAAAUCCAACAAACCCGAAACCCCAUUUUCCCCUUCUCCUUCUUUCGAGUUGAAAAUCCGUACAGACUGACGAACUCGCCUUUCUGACUCAUUGGACUCCGCAACUCGAGCUAAUAACCCAUGAGACUUCCUGAAACAAACGCUUGGAAGAUCAGAACCAUCUGAAGGCAUGUCAGGUAGGAUGAAGAAAAACCCAUGACCAUUGGAUUGAAGUUUACCAAGCAUUUGCAACAGGAUUUGAACGAAAUUCGAGUGAACAAUUGUGAGAUGAGCUUGGCGUUGAGGAAUCGAAAGGGAAGAGAACCAUUUGAUCAGCGAUGAUCUAGGGUUAGGGUUAUGAUUAGGAAAUGGAGGUUUUUGUGAAUUGUAGAGAGAAAUG